AACGUAGGAGACAAACGUUAUCCGGAGUUACUGGGCGUAAAGGGCGUGUAGGUGGUUUCGUAAGUCUGGCGUGAAAUUUUUCGGCUUAACCGGGAAAGGUCGUCGGAUACUGCGGGACUAGAGGACGGUAGAGGCGUGUGGAAUUCCGGGUGUAGUGGUGAAAUGCGUAGAGAUCCGGAGGAACACCAGUGGCGAAGGCGACUACCUGGCCUGUUUCUUGACGCUGAGGCGCGAAAGCUAGGGGAGCGAACGGG
rnacentral:rRNA from 1 species